AUGUGGUCGGGAGCGGCAGCCGCGGCGGCGCGCACCGUGUCCCCGCCGCUCCACGCGCCGACGUCCCUGAUCGGGCGGCGCGGCGCGGGGCGGCCGUCGACGGUGUCGGUGCGCGCGGGCGGCGGCGGGCUGAUGGACUUCGUGGGCGGGGACCUGGUGAAGCCGGACCUGGGGCGGUGGCUGGACGACGUGGAGGAGCACAAGGCGCUGGCCAUCUACCCGCCGCACGAGGGCGGCUACGAGGGCCGCUACCUCAACCGCCUCCGCUACCAGGGCUACUACUUCCUCGACCUCUCCGCGCGCGGCCUCGGCGACCCCGAGUCCACCCUCACCAAGAUCCACCCCGUCUGCCCGCCUAGCCUCGGGAGGCAGCCGGUGGCGAGGUGGUACUUCCCGCCGGAGGUGGACUACAGGCUCAGCCUGCUGCACCCGGACGCCAAAGGGCUCAUCGUCUGGGUCUACGAGGCCAAGGUUCUGUCCAAGGCCGAGCUGCAGUUCCUGGCCAUGCUCCCCGACCUCCGCCCCAAAGUCAGGGUGAUCGCGGAAUGCGGCAACUGGAGAAAAUUCAUCUGGAAACCGCUGAAGCAAAUAUCGGGCCUCGAGCCUGAUCCGGACGCCGAGGAAUGA
rnacentral:rRNA from 1 species